rnacentral:rRNA from 1 species
GACGAACGCUGGCGGCGUGCUUAACACAUGCAAGUGGAGCGACGAACCAGGGCUUGCCCUGGGGCAAAGCCGCGAACGGGUGAGUAACACGUGGGUCACCUGCCCUGUUGAUUGGGACAACCCCGGGAAACCGGGGCUAAUACCAAAUGUGCUCGAAAGAGGAAAGGAGGCUUCGGCUUCCGCAACGGGAUGGGCCCGCGGCCCAUUAGCUUGUUGGUGGGGUAAUGGCCUACCAAGGCUUCGAUGGGUAGCUGGUCUGAGAGGACGAUCAGCCACACUGGGACUGAGACACGGCCCAGACUCCUACGGGAGGCAGCAGUGGGGAAUCUUGCGCAAUGCGCGAAAGCGUGACGCAGCAACGCCGCGUGAGGGAAGACGGCCUUCGGGUUGUAAACCUCUUUCAGUUGGGACGAAGCCUCGGCGGUUAAUACCCGUCUGAGGUGACGGUACCUUCAGAAGAAGCCCCGGCUAACUACGUGCCAGCCGCCGCAGUAACAC